CUCAUGCAGUGAGCAAAGGCUUCUGGUUCAGAGAAUGUUAAGCAGUUGCUAAGUAAAUCUGUCCUGUAUCCCAGAGAAGCAGGACCCAGCUCUCUCCUGGGCUGUUGUCUCAGCUGCCUCCCCACACAAAAGCUAUUGCUUUAAAGAGGAGGCCCUUUGCCAAGAUGCCAAACUCUCCUUUGUCCCUGCAAAUAAAACUUUCCACUAGGUGGCCUUCAAGUUCCUGUUAAGGAGAAGAGGGGAAAAAAAGACAAAAUCCAAAUCUUAAUAGAGAGAGAGAGAGAGAGAAAGCAACAGAGAGAGAGGGAAACCAGAGAGCCUCAACCGGGGCUGCUCUGGGAAGACACCAGUCCCUGAGCAGCUGAUUUGGGCACCCAGCAAUUAGUCUGGGAUUUGGGACAAAAAGAGCUUGGCCAGCGAUUCUUCUGGGCUGGGCAUCACCUAGCAUGUCCUAUUCCCACUGGUCUCUGUGGGUGGUGGAAAGGUGCCCUGGACUUACUGUAUGGCCUUACUGUAUGGCUAACUGACAGGGCCUGGGCCUGUGCUUGGUCUUUCAUGGGUGCCCUUUCUCUUCAUGAAAAUGACAUCAGUGCACAAACUUAGUGAUAGGACACACUGGGCCACAUCGCUGGGCUUCUUCUGCACCAGCUCCAUUGGGUUGAAACAGACUUGAACACAUCCAUCUUCUCCCCAUAGAGGCUGCUGGCUUGGGGCUCAAGUCCCUCCCUAUCCCAGGCUUUCUGAUGCUGCACUUCUGAGGAAGGGGAACGCCUUUGUAACGUUUACAUUGGGGCCCUAGAAUAUGAACUUGAUCUUGGAAGACAGAACUCAAUGCUUCUCCCCCGCAGUUUGCCAGUACCAUUGAAGGGUCCAGAUGCUGCCUGGCUUUGUAUCCAACACACUCACGAGUGGGAGCCUUUAACCCUCCCAGCCAAGACAUCCUCUGCCUCUACAGAGGAAUCUGUCCUCUUGAGCAUCCGAAGACAGCCAUGCUGGGGUCAGGUCAGAGAUCAGAGGACAACAAGUCAGAUGGCAAGUUGGCCAGUGUGACCCAAGAGACUGUGCAAGUGGCCAACAAGUAAAGGCUUGGGAAGGCCAGGCCCACCAGUAAAAGUGUUGUUUCGAAUUUGUUACUGAGGUUAAAGUACUGAAGUGGCAGUCUGCAGAAAGGAGACAGGUGCUAACAAGGAGCUGGCUGAAAUGCACAGGGCAUGGUUUCCAGAGUCGGGCAGACCUGUGCUCUAGUCAUAGCCCCACUUAUGAGAAGUGCAGCCUAGGGAAGCUUCUUCAUCCCUCUGAGCCUCAACUUCCUUCUUUGUAAAAACGUCUUCCUCUGAGACUGAGCAAGUGGAAUAGCAGAUCCAGGAACCUCUUACAUACAUGAGAGAAGACUGCUGCCUUUUCAGCGGCAGAGAAAUUUCUAGGACUGGCUGUCCCCUACUGAGAUCAGUGUAGUGUAUGUACCAUGGCCUGCAUCUCCUGCUCAUUUGCCAGUCUCCUCCCACUGAACGGGUGGGUUAUCAGCACACAUUUGGACCCUCCUGAGUGACCUGCUUCUCGAGUACAGCGCUCUUGAUCCUAUUUACAUGCACAGCCCUGUGGAGAAGGAGCCCAGAGGGGAUGUGUGCUUUCUAUUAAAAGUGCUCUGGUCCUCAUCUUUUCUUACCAGAUUCCAAACUUUGUUUUCAAAGGGAGGGUUUAAAAAUGGGAUUCUGUAAGCAAAAUUGGGCAGUUUUAUCUUGCAGUAGGUUGUCUGUACAUGUUCUAAUGUUUUGUAGAACACUUGUACCUGUUUAAAUGUAUUGAUGUGGAUAAUAUUAAAUAUCUUAACUAUUUAAAUAAUUCAUUGUAUUGUUUCUGAGAAGUUGAGGAAUUACUACAUACA